rnacentral:tRNA from 1 species
AGCUUUUAAGUUUUUAAAACAUAUAUUUUGAAAAUAUAAAAAAGAAGUUGAAACUUCUAUUAGCUU